AACCUUAUAUCCUGUUGAAAUAAUAUCACUUUUUAUUAUUUAAUUUCACAUCUUAAGUUUAAAUUCAAAUUCUAAUAUUUUUUUUAAAAAAAAAUUGAAAUAUUUAGUCAAAACCUAAUCUUUUUUACUAACUUCAAAUUUUAAAUUUAACCUCAAAGUCUAAUAAAUCUUAAAUCUAAACACAAAAUGUAAGAAAUAUUUUCAUUUAGAUUUUAUUAUUUAAAUAUUUUAGUAUCAGAUUAUUUUUAAAAAAGUUUUGUUUAUUUGUAUUUUAUUUUUAUUUUUUAAAAUCUAAUAAUAACAGGAAAUGCUAACUUUCAUCAUACCCUAAACCCUAAAUUUUGAAUAUUUCAUCAUAAAAUCCAAAGAUAACACAACAAGUAACAUGGUAAAAAGAAAAUCUCAUACUAAUAAUAAAUUAGAAUUUUUUUAUUUUUCUACUUCAAGAUCUAAACCCCAAUCAUGCCUUGAACUUCAACAUCAAAUACAUAAUAAACUUCAAAAUGAACAUUUGUAAAAAGUAAUUACUAGAACAAAAGGAUAUUAAAUUUUAACUUUUAAUAUUUAAUCAAUCACACAACAUGUGGAAUUUUUGAUACAAAUUUAGAUUUCAAAUUUUAAAUUAUAAUACCAAAUUAUUUAAAGUUUUAGAUAGUUUUUAUAAUAACUAUAAAUAAAUAAAAAGAUAAUUUGUAUUGUUUAUUUUGAACCAUUGAUAAGUUUAGAUCAAAGGCCCAAAAUAACUCUUCUAUCUAUCCUCACCUUUUGUUUCUAUUGGUUAGGCGUGGAUCACCAUUUGCACCGUUAGAUGGUAUGGUAUCGAAUCGACGCUUGAGAUUAAUUGCUUUUAUAAUUUUUUUUUAAAUUAUUUUCUGAGAUCUGAACAGAUCUCGUUCUUGAGAGACGAGAGAGAGAGAGGGAUAGAGAGAGAGAGAGAGAGAGAGAGAGAGAGAGAGAGAGGAAACAGAGAGAACAGAGAAGAGAUGGAGAUGGUCUCGAGAGUAGAAGAUGCGACGGCCGGUACUACCCUUUCUCACACCCUUGAUUGAACCUCGUUAGGCGUCAGAGAAGGUAAACGGGUCUGAUAGAGAUGUGUCGGAGAAGACAUGGGAAGAGGCUCGUCGGUUCCGUCGCACUACCUUCGAUCGAGUCGCAGUCUUUCACCACCACCACGGUCACUUCUCUAUUUGCCUGUCUAUCUCUCUCUCUCUGUUUUGAAUCUGUUUUUUUGUUCAUGGGCAGAGCUGGUGGUCGUUAGCAGAGGAGACAAUAUAUGGUGGUAUGCAGGACUGGAAUUAAUUACAUCCAUGAAUCUGUUUAUAUUCAUGUGUGAACUUCUUCUGGUGGUGGGAGUUUGAAGCGUCAAUGGAAUUGGAGUCGAGAAAUAUAGAAGAGAAGAGAUGGAGUUGGUUCAGAGGCAAGGGAAGAGAUACAGAUAAGAAGUUUGAUGGUGGUGGAAGAGUAAAGAUUGAUGCGGUUGACGGCGGCGAAGAGUUGGUGCAGAGAUAGGAUUUAUUUUUUUUAGGUUAAGCUGGUUUAGUUUUUUUUUUUAAUUUCUAAACCGGGUUUAUGUGUAAACCUUAGGUUAAUCAUGGUUUGGUUUAAUGUUUUUUAUUUGUUUAUGGUUUAAUGUAUUCUUUAAUUAUUUGCAUACUGAUUUUAAUCAAUAAAAUUUAAUUUUUAUUUA